GCAGGGUCAGCAAGGCCGGGUUUGGUAGGUGACGCAAGCUUCGCUGCUGUUCACUGAUUGGCUGAGGGCGUGGUCAGAAGAGCGAGGCGAAGAGAGAAGAAAAAUGAAGGCGCAACGUUUGAAACUCGCUGCAACAGGAAGUGAAGGAAGAUACAAACAAGCCGUGAACUAAAAGUCUUUCGGAUUUCAAUAUUCAGCCGGCAGCUCGAUGAAGCCGUGAGGAAUGAGUCGCUUUUGUCACCGUAGUGGAGAGAAUGGAAAGCCUCGUUAGCUUCAUUAGCCUCAUUAGCUUCAUUAGCCUCGUUAGCUUCAUUAGCCUCGUUAGCCGCUUCGGAGCCCCUCGGUGAACACCGACUCAGACGCAGCUAACGCCGCUGCUGUCCAGCCAGAAGGAGAGCAACAUGGCCGACAUGAUGGAGAACCAUCAGAACACCUGGAUCCUUCAGCAGGAAGCAGCUACCAGCUGAUGGCAGAGCAACAAGGAGAGUUGAGACAAACUAAAGAAAAAUAAAAGUUGUUGUGUCUCAGUGAA